UACGUAGGGUGCAAGCGUUGUCCGGAAUUAUUGGGCGUAAAGAGCUCGUAGGCGGUCUGUUACGUCUGCUGUGAAAACCCAGGGCUUAACCCUGGGCUUGCAGUGGAUACGGGCAGACUAGAGGCAGGUAGGGGAGAAUGGAAUUCCCGGUGUAGCGGUGAAAUGCGCAGAUAUCGGGAGGAACACCGGUGGCGAAGGCGGUUCUCUGGGCCGGACCUGACGCUGAGGAGCGAAAGCGUGGGGAGCGAACAGG
rnacentral:rRNA from 1 species